UACAGAGGGCGCGAGCGUUGUCCGGAAUUACUGGGCGUAAAGAGCUCGUAGGUGGUUUGUCGCGUUGUUCGUGAAAUCUCACGGCUUAACUGUGAGCGUGCGGGCGAUACGGGCAGACUAGAGUACUGCAGGGGAGACUGGAAUUCCUGGUGUAGCGGUGGAAUGCGCAGAUAUCAGGAGGAACACCGGUGGCGAAGGCGGGUCUCUGGGCAGUAACUGACGCUGAGGAGCGAAAGCGUGGGGAGCGAACAGG
rnacentral:rRNA from 1 species